rnacentral:rRNA from 1 species
UACGAAGGGGGCGAGCGUUGUUCGGAUUUACUGGGCGUAAAGGGCGCGUAGGCGGCGGACCAAGUCGAGUGUGAAAGCCCCGGGCUCAACCUGGGAGGUGCGCUCGAGACUGGUCUGCUUGAGUUCGGGAGAGGAGCGUGGAAUUCCCAGUGUAGAGGUGAAAUUCGUAGAUAUUGGGAAGAACACCGGUGGCGAAGGCGGCGCUCUGGACCGAGACUGACGCUGAGGCGCGAAAGCGUGGGGAGCAAACAGG